rnacentral:rRNA from 1 species
UAGGUAGGGUGCAAGCGUUAAUCGGAAUUAUUGGUCGUAAAGGGUGCGCUGGCGGUUCUGUAAGUCAGAUGUGAAAUCCCCGGGCUUAACCCGGGAAUUGCGUCUGAAACUACAGGACUAGAGUGUGGCAGAGGGGGGUGGAAUUCCAUGUGUAGCAGUGAAAUGCGUAGAGAUGUGGAAGAACAUCGAUGGCGAAGGCAACCCCCUGGGUUAACACUGACGCUCAUGCACGAAAGCGUGGGGAGCAAACAGGAUUAGAUACCCUGGUAGUCCACGCCCUAAACUAUGUCAACUAGUUGUCGGGCCUUAAUAGGUUUGGUAACGUAGCUAACGCGUGAAGUUGACCGCAUGGGGAGUACGGUCGCAAGAUUAAAACUUAAAUGAAUUGACGG